rnacentral:rRNA from 1 species
GUGGGGAAUAUUGGACAAUGGGCGAAAGCCUGAUCCAGCCAUGCCGCGUGUGUGAAGAAGGUCUUCGGAUUGUAAAGCACUUUAAGUUGGGAGGAAGGGCAGUAAGUUAAUACCUUGCUGUUUUGACGUUACCGACAGAAUAAGCACCGGCUAACUUCGUGCCAGCAGCCGCGGUAAUACGAAGGGUGCAAGCGUUAAUCGGAAUUACUGGGCGUAAAGCGCGCGUAGGUGGUUUUGUAAGUUGGAGGUGAAAUCCCCGGGCUCAACCUGGGAAGUGCCUACAAAACUGCAUGACUAGAGUACGGUAGAGGGUAGUGGAAUUUCCUGUGUAGCGGUGAAAUGCGUAGUUAUAAGAAGGAACACCAGUGGCGAAGGCGACUACCUGGACUGAUACUGACACUGAGGUGCGAAAGCGUGGGGAGCAAACAGGAUUAGAAGCCCGGGUAGUCC